GUACUCACUGCUAUGGUAUAUAUGCUACAAUUACAAUGAUACAAAGACGCUUACCAUGACUCCUGCACAAGGGUGACACCCAACAUCAUGAGCGUCCCACCUAAGU